rnacentral:rRNA from 1 species
UUGGAGGGCAAGUCUGGUGCCAGCAGCCGCGGUAAUUCCAGCUCCAAUAGCGUAUAUUAAAGUUGUUGCAGUUAAAAAGCUCGUAGUUGAAUUUCGGGAUCAAUUUAUUGGUCGUGCCAACGGUACGCACUGGUACAAUUGGUUUCUCCCUUCUGACGAAGCAUGAUGUCAUUAAUUUGAUGUCGUGGGGAAUCAGGACUGUUACUUUGAAAAAAUUAGAGUGUUUAAAGCAGGCUUUGGCUUGAAUACAUUAGCAUGGAAUAAUGAAAUAGGACGUUUGAUCUUAUUUCGUUGGUUUCUAAGAUCGACGUAAUGAUUAAUAGGGAUAGUUGGGGGCAUUAGUAUUCAAUUGUCAGAGGUGAAAUUCUUGGAUUUAUUGAAGACUAACUACUGCGAAAGCAUUUGCCAAGGAUGUUUUCAUUAAUCAAGAACGAAAGUUAGGGGAUCGAAGACGAUCAGAUACCGUCGUAGUCUUAACCAUAAACUAUGCCGACUAGGGAUCGGAUGAUGUUAAUUUUUUAAUGACUCAUUCGGCGCCUUACGGGAAA